GGGAUAGCAGUGUAAAUCCUUUUGUUGUUAGCUGAAAGCACAACAAAAGAUUGAAACGUAUAGCCCGCCCCUUG
rnacentral:sRNA from 1 species